rnacentral:rRNA from 1 species
CGGCGACGGGUGAGUAACGCGUAGGAAUCUACCCGGUAUGGGGGACAACAGUCGGAAACGACUGCUAAUACCGCAUACGCCCUAAGGGGGAAAGCAGGGGAUCUUCGGACCUUGCGCUAUCGGAUGAGCCUGCGUCGGAUUAGCUUGUUGGUGGGGUAAUGGCCUACCAAGGCGACGAUCCGUAGCUGGUCUGAGAGGAUGAUCAGCCACACUGGGACUGAGACACGGCCCAG